UACGGGGGGGGCAAGCGUUGUUCGGAAUUACUGGGCGUAAAGGGCUCGUAGGCGGCCAACUAAGUCGGACGUGAAAUCCCUCGGCUUAACCGGGGAACUGCGUCCGAUACUGGAUGGCUUGAGUUCGGGAGAGGGAUGCGGAAUUCCAGGUGUAGCGGUGAAAUGCGUAGAUAUCUGGAGGAACACCGGUGGCGAAGGCGGCAUCCUGGACCAACACUGACGCUGAGUGAGCGAAAGCCAGGGGAGCAAGCGGG
rnacentral:rRNA from 1 species